rnacentral:rRNA from 1 species
CCUACGUGUGGCUGCAGUGAGGAAUAUUGGUCAAUGGGCGCGAGCCUGAACCAGCCAAGUAGCGUGAAGGAUGACUACCCUACGGGUUGUAAACUUCUUUUAUAAAGGAAUAAAGUGAGGCACGUGUGCCUUUUUGUAUGUACUUUAUGAAUAAGGAUCGGCUAACUCCGUGCCAGCAGCCGCGGUAAUACGGAGGAUCCGAGCGUUAUCCGGAUUUAUUGGGUUUAAAGGGAGCGUAGAUGGGUUGUUAAGUCAGUUGUGAAAGUUUGUGGCUCAACCGUAAAAUUGCAAUUGAUACUGGGAGUCUUGAGUACAGUAGAGGUAGGCGGAAUUCGUGGUGUAGCGGUGAAAUGCUUAGAUAUCACGAAGAACCCCGAUUGCGAAGGCAGCUUACUAAACUGUGACUGACAUUGAUGCUCGAAAGUGUGGGUAUCAAACAGGAUUAGAUACCCCAGUAGUC